GCAGUGUAGCAUAAUGGUUAGGGAACUGGGCUUACAACCUAGAGGUUGGUGGUUCAAUUCCCAGGCAUGGCA